rnacentral:rRNA from 1 species
AUUGAACGCUGGCGGCAGGCCUAACACAUGCAAGUCGAACGAGUGGCGGACGGGUGAGUAAUGUCUGGGAAACUGCCCGAUGGAGGGGGAUAACUACUGGAAACGGUAGCUAAUACCGCAUACUAUCGGAUGUGCCCAGAUGGGAUUAGCUAGUAGGUGGGGUAACGGCUCACCUAGGCGACGAUCCCUAGCUGGUCUGAGAGGAUGACCAGCCACACUGGGACUGAGACAAGGUCCAGACUCCUACGGGAGGCAGCAGUGGGGAAUAUUGCGCAAUGGGGGCAAGCCUGAUGCAGCCAUGCCGCGUGAAUGAAGAAGGCCUUCGGGUUGUAAAGUACUUUCGGUGGGGAGGCGUUACUCGCAGAAGAAGCACCGGCUAACUCCGUGCCAGCAGCCGCGGUAAUUC